rnacentral:rRNA from 1 species
UUCGAAGCAACGCGAAGAACCUUACCAGGCCUUGACAUGCAGAGAACUUUCCAGAGAUGGAUUGGUGCCUUCGGGAACUCUGACACAGGUGCUGCAUGGCUGUCGUCAGCUCGUGUCGUGGGAUGUUGGGUUAAGUCCCGUAACGAGCGCAACCCUUGUCCUUAGUUACCAGCACGUUAUGGUGGGCACUCUAAGGAGACUGCCGGUGACAAACCGGAGGAAGGUGGGGAUGACGUCAAGUCAUCAUGGCCCUUACGGCCUGGGCUACACACGUGCUACAAUGGUCGGUACAAAGGGUUGCCAAGCCGCGAGGUGGAGCUAAUCCCAUAAAACCGAUCGUAGUCCGGAUCGCAGUCUGCAACUCGACUGCGUGAAGUCGGAAUCGCUAGUAAUCGUGAAUCAGAAUGUCACGGUGAAUACGUUCCCGGGCCUU